rnacentral:rRNA from 1 species
GAUGAACGCUGGCGGCGUGCCUAAUACAUGCAAGUCGAGCGCAGGAGGGACGGGGGAGGAACACGUGGAUAAACUCCUAAAACACUGGGAUAACUGCGGGAAACAGGUGCUAAACCGGAUGUUUAUGGAUGGAUCCGCGGUGCAUUAGCUAGUUGGUAAGGUAACGGCUUACCAAGGCCACGAUGCAUAGCCGACCUGUGAGGGUGAUCGGCCACACUGGAACGGAGACAAGGUCCAGACUCCUACGGGAGGCAGCAGUAGGGAAUCUUCCGCAAUGGGCGAAAGCCUGACGGAGCAACGCCGCGUGAGUGAUGAAGGUCUUCGGAUCGUAAAACUCUGUUAUUAGGGAAGCGGUAUCUAAGCAGAAAGCCACGGCUAACUACGUGCCAGCAGCCGCGGUAAUUC